rnacentral:rRNA from 1 species
CUACGGGCUGCUCCAGUGAGGAAUAUUGCACAAUGGGGGGAACCCUGCUUCAGCAACUCCGCGUGGCGGAUGGAGCAUUUCGGAGUUCAAACUCCUUUUAUAUGUCAAGAAAAUGACGGUAGCAUAUGAAUAAGCACCGGCUAACUCCGUGCCAGCAGCCGCGGUAAUACGGAGGGUGCAAGCGUUACUCGGAAUCACUGGGCGUAAAGGACGCGUAGGCGGGUUGGAAAGUCAGGUGUGAAAUCCUACAGCUUAACUGUAGAACUGCACUUGAAACUUCUAAUCUAGAGUAUGGGAGGGGGAGAUGGAAUUAGUGGUGUAGGGGUAAAAUCCGUAGAUAUCACUAGGAAUACCUAAAGCGAAGGCGAUCUCCGGGAACAUUACUGACGCUAAGGCGUGAAAGCGUGGGGAGCAAACAGGAUUAGAUACCCUCGUAGUC